UACGAAGGGGGCUAGCGUUGUUCGGAAUCACUGGGCGUAAAGGGCGCGUAGGCGGCACAGCAAGUCGGGAGUGAAAGCCCGGGGCUCAACCCCGGAAUGGCUUUCGAAACUGCUGAGCUAGAGUACAGAAGGGGCAACCGGAAUUCCCAGUGUAGCGGUGAAAUGCGUAGAUAUUGGGAAGAACACCUGAGGCGAAGGCGGGUUGCUGGGCUGAUACUGACGCUGAGGCGCGAAAGCCAGGGGGAGCAAACGGG
rnacentral:rRNA from 1 species